ensembl:processed_transcript 4930483J18Rik RIKEN cDNA 4930483J18 gene
UCCGCACCCUCCCCCCUACCCGCCUGGGAGCGACAGCCGUAUCGACCAAUCAGAAACCUAGCGCCGUUAGGGCUGGCCUGACUUAGGGGGCGUUCGCCGAAGGAAGAGGAACGAGGGAGGCUAGUACGGCGGCGCGACUUCUGUGACUGACAUCAUAGCGCAGCCAAUCGGUAACUGAGAGAUGACUUCAUCGCUGAAGGAAGUCUGGAACUGGCGGAGCGGCCGCCAAGAGGCCACCAUCCACUGGAUAAACUGAAGUAUGAUUGCCCCAGAGUCCAACGUGGAAAACCAGAACAUCUACAGUCAACAAGCCCAGUCUUGAGGGGCUCUUGCAAGAUAGCUGUGCUUUUGCAAGGACAGAGCUGCUGGACACAAGGAAAAAGAAAGAAGGUGCUUUCCCUAAAGGUUCUGGAGAACAGAGUCCCCAGUGUGGGAGCAAGGGUUAACACUGUAGAAGCAGAAACCCUCAGGGGCAUCCUAACAGACGUGGGAAGGCACAGUGACUAGAAGGAGGUAACGCAGGUUACAUCUCUGAGUGAGUUACUCUGUAUGGCUUCCGUUCUCCCCCCGGAAACCUCCCAGACUGCUCAGUGGUGUGUGGCUCUGUUGGGAUAGGAGAAGGAGCUGCAACUCUCUCUAUCCACUGCAGUAAGCCAGCCCGGCCCUGAGUAAUUCCCAGUUAUUCAUCUGUAAGUCAGCUUCAAGUUCCGUACCACGUGUCUCAUCACAGAACCUUGGAGGUAGCCCAGAUCCUGUGGCCUCUUAGUCACACCUUCCCUCCCAAGAUUAAAAAAAAAGAAAAGAAAAGAAAAACCACAAAAGCCCUAAUAAAAUUAUAUGUUCAAUAACUAUAUAUGCUAUAUAAAUAAAACCUUAAAAUAAAAUAA